rnacentral:lncRNA from 1 species
CUCUUAUAUAAUAAUUAGCUGCUUUCAUGUGAGCCUUCAAAGAAGCAGGUUUUGAAUGACAUCACGCUCCCACUUGAGUUCUCCUGUGAUGUGAAUGUUACAGGCCACAUUCAAAAAAAAUGUGAUGACUAGCAGAAUUUCCAAACACAACUGCUCUCCUAGUUCAUGGGCUUACAAGCUUAGAAAUGGAGAAAUCCUAAUUAAGUUAUCAGAUACCCUUAUUUGCUUGUAAGAGGUAGCCCUGAUUGGUCUCAGCCUUCCAAUCUGGGCAGCCCUUCCGGGUUCAUGAGCUAGAAUUUCCAAUGGUCAACUCUUGAGUAACAAUCUUGAAGAACUAAGGAACUAAGCUUAUAUGAACUCAAAACUCUUUAGAUCAAAAGCUUUAUGCUUUGAAGGAAAACUGUAUUGUCUAUAAGGUAAGUAGACCAGUUUCUGCCAAUAAAAGGUGCUAGUACUUUCUCCAAAAAUUUGCUCAUUGUUUCU